rnacentral:lncRNA from 9 species
UCUCCCUCCUCUGACCCACUUCCGGUCUGGCUUGCUCCAGGAUGCCUCCACAGACCCACCCCCACGGCUGUAAGAGUCCAAAAUACUCCCGGAACACCUCGCAGGAUGGAAAUCAGGAGAGCGUGACCUCAUGGAAACCCAGUCAUCAGCAGGAGAGAGACCGGCAGCAUCGGACGAGGGAGGCCGUCACAGAAUCAGGACCAAAGCUCGCUGGCCUUGGCGUUGGAAGGUUUAUUGGUGGCCUCCUGUCUAAUUGAA